rnacentral:rRNA from 1 species
GUGGGGAAUAUUGGACAAUGGAGGCAACUCUGAUCCAGCCAUGCCGCGUGUGUGAAGAAGGCCUUUUGGUUGUAAAGCACUUUAAGCGAGGAGGAGGCUUACCUGGUUAAUACCUGGGAUAAGUGGACGUUACUCGCAGAAUAAGCACCGGCUAACUCUGUGCCAGCAGCCGCGGUAAUACAGAGGGUGCAAGCGUUAAUCGGAUUUACUGGGCGUAAAGCGCGCGUAGGUGGCUAAUUAAGUCAAAUGUGAAAUCCCCGAGCUUAACUUGGGAAUUGCAUUCGAUACUGGUUAGCUAGAGUAUGGGAGAGGAUGGUAGAAUUCCAGGUGUAGCGGUGAAAUGCGUAGAGAUCUGGAGGAAUACCGAUGGCGAAGGCAGCCAUCUGGCCUAAUACUGACACUGAGGUGCGAAAGCAUGGGGAGCAAACAGGAUUAGAAACCCCAGUAGUCC